AGGGGCUCUCGCGGGCAGGUGACCACUCCUUCCAAGAGCCCUUGAAUUUCCAGGAAGGAGUCUUGGUGGCUACUGAGACUGGGCUGUAUGAAAACUGCCAGAGGAAAUGCCAAUCGGGAUGGCUAAAGAUCUCGAGGAAAGUGGCUCAUCCUCAGAGGAGGAGGAGGAGGAAGAUGCUAUAGAUGCACUGGAGGAUCAUCCAUGUAUCAAGUGGACCGGUGGUGGCUGCAGGCGGAUCCCAGUCUUGGUAUUUCAUGCUGAAGCCAUUCUGACCAAGGACAGUUACCUCCGCCUCAUUGGAGAGCGCUACCACAUGUCCUACAAGAUAGUGCGAACAGACAGCCGGCUGGUUCGAAGUAUUCUGACUGCCCAUGGAUUCCAUGAGGUUCACCCUAAUAGCAGCGAUUAUAAUCUCAUGUGGACAGGAUCACACUUGAAGCCCUACUUGCUGCGUUCCCUAACAGAUAUUCAGAAAGUCAAUCAUUUCCCUAGGUCGUAUGAACUGACACGAAAGGACAGACUAUACAGAAACGUCACUCGUAUGCAGCUGACCCAUGGAUUCAAGACAUUCCAUAUCUUACCUCAGACCUUUAUCCUCCCAACAGAGUACCAGGACUUCUGCAAUACCUAUUCUAAGGACAGAGGGCCAUGGAUAGUGAAGCCUGUGGCCUCUUCGAGGGGUCGAGGUGUCUACCUGAUAAACAAUCCAAGCCAGAUUGUCGUGGAAGACAACAUCCUGGUUUCUCGUUACAUCAGCAACCCCUUGCUCAUAGAUGAUUUCAAAUUUGAUGUGCGGCUCUAUGUUCUGGUUACAUCCUACGAUCCACUUGUCAUCUAUCUCUAUGAGGAAGGAUUGGCCAGGUUUGCAACAGUGAGGUAUGACCAGGCAUCUAAGAACAUUAAAAACCAGUUCAUGCAUCUGACCAACUACAGUGUCAAUAAGAAGAGUGGAGAUUAUGUCAGCUGUGAUGAUCCUGAAGUAGAGGAUUAUGGAAACAAGUGGAGCAUGAGUGCAAUGCUGAGGUACUUAAAACAAGAGGGGAGAGACACUGCAGCACUGAUGGCCAAUGUGGAAGACCUGAUUAUCAAGACUGUAGUUUCUGCUGAGCUGUCCAUUGCCUCGGCUUGUAAAAGUUUUCUUUCACAUCGUGGCAGCUGCUUUGAACUGUAUGGUUUUGAUGUCCUUAUCGAUGACACUCUCAAACCCUGGCUGUUGGAAGUGAACCUGUCUCCAUCAUUGGCCUGUGAUGCUCCUUUGGACCUGAAGAUCAAAGCUAGCAUGCUCUCAGAUAUGUUCACUCUUGUAGGCUUCGUGUGCCAGGAUCCAGGCCAGCGGUCAAGCCGGACCAUUUAUCAUUCAGCUGAAUCUGUCAGGAGAAAUCCAUACCAGAAGAUGCAACGUCCUGCGUCUGCACAGUCACAAACAGCAAACACCAGAUUGCGAACCCGUCCUCUGUCUGCCAGUGAUGCUGAAGUUAAAAGCUCGAUGCCCUUAGGCAGGGAAAAAGCAACAGGAAAGCACAGCAGCUCUGUGGUAGGCCUGUCCAUGGAGGAGAUAAAAGUUCUUCGACGAGUGAAAGAGGAAAAUGAACGGAGAGGAGGCUUCAUCCGGAUAUUCCCUACCCCAUUAACAUGGGACCUUUAUGGAUCAUUUUUAGAGCACAAGACAUCAAUGAACUACAUGCUGGCUACACGUCUGUUUAAGGACAGGGGCAAGAUGAAAAGAGACUUCAUCACUGGAAGAUCCCGAGCAGGUCUUAAUGGAAGGCUGGAUAUGAGGAUGGAAGCUGUGGACUCUCAUGCUCUGUUUUAUGAGAGAAAGCUUAUUUCACUGGAGUUACGGAAGCGUCGGCGAUGUCAUGGCAAGGCUAGAGCAGCACAAAUGAGAUCAUCAGGCACAUCAGAAUCAGCAAAGCUGUCCCUCAAGUCAGACACAGAAGGUGAGGAGGAAGAGGAGGUGGAUGCAGAUGAAGAUGAAGAGCUAGAUAGAACUGUUUGCUCUGUUUCGGACACCCAGGUGAAAAACAAGCCAAAGCUCCCUGACUCAGUGAAAAUUACUUGUAAGGAGAGGUUGCCAAAAAAACUUGACAAAAAAACUGGAGAUGGAGAAGAGCAGUUUCUGCAAAAACUAGGCUCAGAAUCUCAGUUUAACUUGCUUCAGAUUCUUCAAAAGCAUGGAAACCUGAGCAAAGUGCAAGCCCGUACGGCUUUCUCUGCCUAUCUACAGCAUGUUCAGUUCCGACUCAUGAAGGAGGCUGGCGACCAGAUCCAGAAUCCUACCUGGGCUGCCAAAGAGGAUGAGCAAAUGGAGCUGGUGAUCCGCUUUCUGAAGCGAGCUGCCAGCAAUCUCCGUCAGUCCUUGAGGCUGCUGCUCCCCAGCCGUCGUUUAGGACUAAGUGAUCGUCGUCGUCUCCUGGCUCGCCAGCUGGGAGAGUUCAUAAUCUGUUAUAACAAGGAAACAGAGCAGAUGGUUCAGAAAAGAUCAAAAAAGAAACAGGAAGAGGAGGAGGAGGGAGUGAAUCCUGAAGGUUUUCAGAACUUUAUUACCAAAGCAAGUGAAAGUGACCUGGAGGAAGUACUGACAUUUUACACACACAAAAACAAAUCAGCAAGUAUCUUCCUAGGAGCAAAAUCCACAAGCACAAAACACAGCAACAGCAGUCGCCAGUCAGAGAAGCAGCCCCAAGGUGAGCAUCCUGAGGUGGUGGAAAAAAUAAAGGGUGAUCAUCCCAAAAGUUCAGUUGCAGAUGUGCCUGCAGAAGGAGCACUAAAAGGCUAUAAACCCAAAGAAGUUAAAUCAAACUUUCCGGAAGGACCCAUCUUCUCUUUAAAUGCUGAAGUGAAAUUACCUCGAUGCAGCCGUUCUAGUACUUCUUCCUCUGUUUCUGGUGCCACGUUCCAGAGAAGUACCAGUUCCUGGGUACCAUCUCAGCCUGCGGCCUCUGAAAAUUUGCAGGUGGAUGGUCACCAUUCAUUGCUGGCUCCUCCAGUUGCUCCCAGACUGAUUCAGUCCCCACCCCCACUACCCUCCUUGCAGAGCACAGCUCCUGACAGCUCUUCUGUCUUCACAAACCCAGUGUCCAGUGAGACCUGUAGCCUUGCAGGGUUACAUCGGUGUCGUCCUGGUAGCUACACCAUUGGUCCGUUCUCAUCUUUUCAGAGAGCUGCUCAGAUCUACAGCCAAAGAUUGUCCCGACCAUCCUCUGCAAAAGUAGGUUUGUGCCAUCGCAGUUCAAAUGGGCAGCGUGUGGGCUCAGCCAGGAUGCAAAAAGAAACCGAAUAUACUUCUUCCCAGGGCAAAUGUCACGGCCCCGGUAUGGCAGCAGCGGAACUGCAGCACUUGGCAGAAAAGCAAGCAGCCUGUCAGUAUUCUCCACCAAGCCACAUCAGUCUCCUUACACAGCAGUUAACAAACCUGAACUUGGCAAGUGGAGCUAUAAGCAAGGGGAAUGCAGCUGCCCCACAGAACUACCGGUCACCACUCAACAAAAGAGGGUCACUGUGGGCUGUUCAGUCAGACACUCAUAGAGCUGACAAAAGAUCUUCAGCAGUCAGGGCUCUGGAGAAUCAUCAUUUUGCCUGUGACAGAGAGGUGGAGAACAGUGUCUACAACAAGGUGACAGAGAGUCCACUGGCACAUCCCAACUAUCAGCUUCAUUUUGCUGUGCAGCAACUUCAGCAGCAGAAACUUCAGUCACGACAAUUGUUGGAGCAAAACCAAACACGGCAACAGGCUCUCUUUGCCAACUACUCACAACCCAGCACCAGCCAUAUAUCUAUGCCAGCUGGCUCUGAUGCCCACAAGACAUCAAGUGCCACUUGUAGUAUCCAAAAAGCAACCAGUUUGCACAAAGUGAUGCCAUCCCAGAGUACACCUCCUCAGCUGGUUCCAAAGCCUCCAACAAACCACAGACAGGCAGUGAUCAGAAAGGCUGCAGCCCAGAGGAUUUCCAAGGUGACCUCCACUGAAAAGAAACUGAACGGAUUCCAGAAGAGCCUUCACAGUUCUGCAUCCUGUGAGCUAGGGACAAAUUCCACAGCCUCUGCUCGCAGAGAAGGAUUAACACACAACACCAGGUGAGGAAUCCAGAGUGUUGCUUCAAGUAUGGAGCAAAGGAAAAAGCAGCACUGACUUCAUACCACCGCACUCCCCUAACAGCCAGAAAAGAGAGAAGAGGAGGCCUUGGUGAGAGGAAAACCCACUGAAGAGAGUACCUGAACAUCUCUGGAAGCAGAUUUUGGUGAUACACCUGCACACUGAGUUCUUCAGAUCAGCAUGAUAGAGCACUUAGCAUGGUGGUGUCCAAAUGAGAUCUUCAGAUCCUGAACCAUACUUAAGAAAUUUCUGUAGCAAGUCUCCAGAUGUCAAAUUGUGUCAUGCAAGGCAGCUUGUUGCAAGCUGGGUGUCUUCCAAAGACUCUUGUGAGUCAGAUUUGUCUGCUACUGCUUUCCUCCACAAGUGGAGUUUCUUACAAAUCCUUGAAAACAAUGGAUAUCUCCGAAGCAUCUAGCCUACCUGCAAGAGGCCUUCAGCACUUCAAAAGACCAAUUUUUUGUUUGAAGAAAGGACCAGAACAUGGUUACCAAGACAUUCCCCAGUCAUUACACCAUGUGCAUUGCACAAAUCCUGUAAGAUUUGCCCCUGGCUGAACAGCAAAUCUUUGUUUUGUCUGCUUCCUGAAGAGGAUAAUAACUUCAGAAGAAAAAAGAAAUCCUUCCUGAAAAAUGGCAGGAAGUCUCUGGUUUGACAUCACCCAGCUGGCUUCUUUCAUCAAAUGGUGUACGUGCACUGACCAUGGUAUAUUAUUACAAUGCCUCAUGCUGAUUUCUGUAUCUGAUGAAUGAGUAUCUAAACAGGUAGUGAGAAAUGGCUGACUGUUGGCAGACCAGACAAAGGUCUGCCAAAAACCUUUGCUUUCUGCAGCAGGCCCAAUACCUACUUGUUAAUUAUUUCUUGCAUUGGUCUCUAUGGUCAGCAAUGAGGUAUCAUCUUCCUUUUUUUCCCUCACAGCUGAAGGAUGGGAUGCCAUCCAGAAGACCUUGACAAGCUUGAAAAGUGGGCCCAUGGGAAUCUCAAGAGUCUUAACAAGACCCAAGUAUAAGGUGCUGCACCUGGGUCAGGGCAACCCCUGGUAUCAGUACAGGCUGGGGGGUAAAUAGAUUGAGAGUGGCCCUGCUGAGAAGGACUUGGGGAUGCUGGUGGGUAAGAGGCUGGACAUGACCCAGCAAUGUGCACUUGCAGCCGUGAAAGCCAAAGAUAUCCCGAGCUGCAUCAAAAAAAGUGUGGACAGCAGGUCUGGGGAGGUGAUUCUGCCCCUCUACUCCAUUCUGUGCUGUGUCCAGCUCUGUGGUCCUGAGCACAAGAAGGGUAUCAAGCUGUUGGAGUGAGUCCAGAGGAAUGCCAGCAAGGUGAUUAGAGGGAUGGAGCACCUUACCUAUGAGGAAAGGCUGAGAGAAUUGGGUUUGUCAGCCUGGAAAAGAGACAGCUUAGGAAUGACCUAACUGCAGCCUUCCAGUACCUGAAGGAAGCCUACAAGAAAGACAGACAGGGACCUUUUACAAGAGUAUGUCACAAAAGUGACAGGAUAAAAGGGAAUGGAUUUAAAUUAAAAGAGAGUAAGUUUAGAUUAGUUAUUAGGAAAACAUUCUUUACUGUGAGGGUGGUGAGGCACUGGAACAGGUUGCCCAGAGAAGUUGUGGAUGCCCUGUCCCUGGAGGCGUUCAAGGCCAGGCUGGAUAGAGCUCUGAGGAACCUGGUCUAGUGACUCCUGCCAUGGCAGGGGAGUUGGAACUGGAUGAUCUUUAAGGUCCCUUCCAACCCAAACAAUUCUGUGAUUCUAUGAUCCUGCCUAGUCAACUAAGUGGAAUGAGAGACAAAGAAUAUCACCCUGCACAAAGACCACUACGCCUCUGAAAGGGGGAGAAAUCAGUCUUUGUCUUCAGAAGGUACCACUUGAAGAUUGGUAUUCCUGGGUAAUAGUUCAACAAUACCAGCAUAAACCAUAAGGGACAGACUUUCUGCCUGAAAGCUGUUCACUAAGUAUGCAGGAUGUGGGAAACUAAUUAUGUUAUGGGGUUUUUUUUGCCACAAACCACAGCUGUAAAUAAACUUAUUCUGUACUAGCUAGAAAGGUCCUUAUCCCUAAGUGUAUUUUUCUUCAAAUCAUACUGGGCCCACUAUGGGGCCCACACUCUCCAACAAAUGCUUGAUUGAAUGUCUUCAGACCAUCAUCUUUGCAUCUUCCCAAAGCAACCUAGCCCUAGAUAAGGGUGUUCUAAAAGCAGACGAAUAACUGAGGUCUGUAAUCUUGGAAAUUGUUUUUUCCUGGAAAUACACUGUGACAUCUGUGACACACUGUGAAGCAGUGCUGUACCACAUUCUUUCUGAAAUUAUGGGCAUUAGUGGCAUCUCAAAUGCAUUACUAUCGUUUAGGUAAUGGCAACCAUUAAUUAGCAAUCUUCAUUUGCUGUAUUUCUUGUUGCUGUACCAGAAUUCAUUUCUAAGACAGUCUAUUUUCCAGUGAGUAAACUGUCUCAUCUCUUCUACAUUGACUUGUUGCAUGACAAUGGAUCUUGCGUUUGUACAGGGCAUCUGAAGCCUCUCUUCAAAAAAGGACAAGAGACACUGAACUUAGUUGCUUCCAUCUUAGUUGUUUCCAUCUCUCACUUCUGGAAUUGCAUCAAAACUGAACCAGAGUUUAAAUGACUUCCUGUAUACAAAAGAAAACAUUGGUAAAGCAGAGAUCUGAAAGUCCAGGUGUUCUUUUGCUAAACAUAAUAAUUUUAUAUAGCUUUUAACCAUAUAUAACUUUUUUCUAGUGGUUCUGAAUGUAAAAGUAAAAAUUUAAUAGAUGUUAUCUUUAAAGAAUUAGAAGGCAUAUUUUCCUCCUUGUGCUAUAUCAAAAUUGCUGCUGUUACUUUAAACCACAAUUCAAGUUUAUAGUCAACCCAUAAAACCACAAAUUAGUCUAGUUUUGCAAGUGCGUAGAUAGAGCGCUGCUGUCUCUGUAUGUAUUGAAAACUUUAUCCUCUUGGUUGAUUUCAUUGUCUUUCAAUCACCUAUUAGAGAAGACAAGCCAGUACUAUAGAUAUGAUGUUCUGUAUGCCAUUAAAAACACUUGGAGUGGACAAGAAGCCUUUUCUGCACAAUGGAGCUGGCCUUAGAGCUGCACCCUGGUCACGCUGUGAUACUGAACCUGCCCUGCGUUGGAUCUGAGACCAUACUGAAGAUGUCUGCCUCCUGACACACUGCAGUGGAUCCUCUUCUGUCGUGGGAUGGCUGUAGUGAUUUCAUUUGCUCAGUAGUCUUGAGCCAGAAGACCUGUAUAUGCUCUGAUGAGGACACUCUAGUCACAGGUAAGGAAACCUUCAGAGCAACGCUGAAAGGUAAGGAUGCGUGAAUGGAGAAAAUGAAAAUUUGGCAGCUACAAUAGAGGGAUGUGAGACAGGACUAAGCAGAACAGAGCUAUGUUAUUGCCAGAGUAGUGGACAAGUAUAUUUGUCCUCUGUAUCUUAUAUUACUUUUGGGCACAGUCCAUCUUUUUGACUGAGUGUAUUGAUGUAUGUUGGUUAUGGAAAGCAGCAUAUCUCAGUUCACACAGUGGCAACAGGGAUGUGCUUUAUGUAAAUGCAGUGAGAUAGCUAGAGAUCAUCCAACCCAAAGACCAGGGACACAUUUAGUGUGCAAAGACUGUUCUUUGCUGAAGUGUAAGUGUAUCUUCCUGUACUCACUGAAACAGUGAUCCUCUCUGAGGUCUACAAUACACUACAGCCUGAAAAGCAAGGUAUAAGCCUUUUACAUGCUAUAAUAGUUUGCCACAGAGAAACAGGGACUACACAGAUGGUGGUUUGAUCAUCUGUGCAGGAUCUGCCUUAUGGCACUACAGAAUAGGUUUUUUUCACUCUUUCUGACCAUUGAUCUUUGUUAAAGAGACAAAGUGUGCUGGGCUUGUUUUCAUCGGCUUUUGUUUGUUUCUGCAAACAAAAAGGGAACUGUUGAGAGCUGUAUUCAGUGUUGGCAAUGAAGAUCCCACUUUUUCUUUCCCAUUGUCUUCUUCAAUUUGCUAGCUAGUAACAGCAUAUAGAAAAUUGCCCUCUGCCUUCUCACACAAUUGUCCUGAAACAUUUUGGUAUGCCUGCACCCAGAAGAGUAUUCAAUCAGUUACUAAACGCCAUGUAGCUAGUACAGUUUGUUGCUGAAUUAUAGCUAGAACACCCCUAGAAAUGCUAUUUUAAUUUUAAGAAAAUUAUUUUGGAGCCUGUCUUACAAAUCUAAUUCUCAAAUGUUGCUAGGGAAACAGAAGGCUGGACAGAGAAGCAGUAACUGAAACGUGUCUGAUUUCAAAGAUUACUGUAGCCAUGAGUGUACUUGUGUCCACACCGGUUGGACACACCAACACUCUUCUCCCCAAUUGCCAUUUUGCCUCUUGUCAAGAGGCAAAAGGCUUGAUUCUUCUGCCACCCCUUCCUGCCACUGAGGAACAGCAGUGAACAAAGGCCAGAAAGACAAACCCACCCCAAGGGGCUGACAGGCUUAAUCCGUGGGUGAUUCCAAUGUGUUCCAAGUGCCAUGUAGGACUUUCAGCUGUGCAAGUGUUCUAGCUCAACCCUUUGCGGCUCCCCCUCCCCAUUUGUUUGGGGUUUUUUCCCCCACUUUACUAUCAAGGAAGCCCUUCAAGGGGAUGGGGAGCAGAGCCAGCCCAGGGUUCAGGAGGAACAAUGACCAAAAUGCAGCUUGUAAACCAAAACCUCCCUAGGGGCUGCUACUAAAAGGAGAUCAGAGAGAAUUCCUAUGCCAAUAGGCAUCUGGAUUUUCUCCACCCCCAUUGCAGCCACUAAAUUUCUGGCCUAUCAGCAUGGCAGUGUAGUUGUAAUAUAUUUAUUUGAUCCCUCCUAAGCAGGUGGCAGGGAAGCAUGGGCAUGAGGGCUGUAUAGGGCACAGCCAAUACCUGCUGCAGGACUGAUCAGAGCCGCACCUUUCAUCAUCACACCAGUGACGCGGGUCAGGGAGCCUCAGAGAGAUGAAAGGGAUGAAGCCAAGUGUUGGGGAGCGCCUCUGUCAGAGCAUGUGUGCCCCAGCCAGAACAUCACAUGGGUUGGCAGGCUCCCUCCACUGACCCACCCUUGCUAACCUCUAGCCAGCGGGUGAUAGUGCAGGAAGGGUUGUUUACAGUUUAAGACGUUUGAGUUUACAUGUUAUGGCAGCCUCACAUGCGGUAUUAGGAAGCAGCCACUAUUGUGAAGGGCUUGAUGGAAGAGCUGAAUUUAUGAGCUGACCCUGGAGAGCCCUGGCCACAAGCGAUUAACCAGCUAGGUGUCAUUUUACACUCAGUUGCUGGGGACCAGGAAUUGGGAGGGGACAGGGAGGAACCUCUGUGGUCUCUAGAAUAUGACUGUGUAGUUGUAGUUUGGGGAAUCAGAGACAGCCUCUGAGUCUCAUGUGGCAUGCAAGCACCAGAGAUUUUUACCUCUGGGAGUAUCUAUGGCUGAAAAAGCCCAUUUAAAAGAGUACACUGAUUUCCUGCCUGGGCAACAUGUGUCAUCUUUUUUAUGAGCAUCUGGAAUGUUCAUGGUACAUGAGGAGGAAGGGUGUGUAUGUACAGGUCUAUACUGGCAGACCAUAUAUAUUCAAAUGGACAUAGGACAUUUGUCAGCUGCACCACCCUGGGUAUUUAAACAGUAUUGUUGGAAGUGUUUUACAUUUGAAGGGAGUUUUAUAUGAAUCUAUCAAAAGCAGAUGCCAGAGGUAAUAUACAUGUCUGAAGGACUAGGGUGAGACAGGGCACAUAUACACCAGGCACAGUUUGAGGGUAACAAGGAAUUUCCAUACUGGGAUUCUCCUGCCAACCUAAAUUCUAUCUGUGCCUUUGAAGAGACAUUUUGGAAAGGGCAAAAACUUUUGACUGAGUAUGUCACAGUGGUAGCACUUUAAAAAUGGCAAAUCAUCUAACUCUCCAACAAACAACUUGCUUGUGGAAAAAAUUAGCAUCUCCCCCCAAAAUAUUUAUUUUUUGCAAAGUUUUUGAGAUUACUAUUUUUUAAGUCUUGGCAGGUGAAACCUGGGUCCUGUUCAGGUCAUCAUGCAGAACAGGUGCAGAACACCCCAAAGCACCUCACAAACCACAACAGACAAGAGGUCCUCAGGGUAUGUCAGAUCACAAAUGAAUGGGCCCAAUAUUCAGGUACCCACAGGUAUUGCUCCUGCCUGACCCGAAACCAUCUCUUAGAAACUCCAGGAAGGUGAAAGAGCUGAAUGGAGACACCAGUCCCUCUGAAAAUGGACUCAGCACCCUCUUUCCUUGUAUUUGCCCACCCUCAGUAGGCUGGCUGGGAGCCUUGCAGUUUGCAUUUGGAAACCAAUAGGCAGGAUCUGUCAACUGAACUUAAGAGGUCUGGCAGGCAUGGUUUCAGUUGCAAGAUUCUUGGAUCACAGCUCUGAGGAACAAAAGUCUUAAGUGUAUCUCUUGAGCGUUUCUUCUCUCAGCAGCUUUCCAUCUUGGUGCAUUUGCCUUCUCUAAAGAAACUUGCAAGGUUUCCUCCAACAGGGAAAACCUUUAGUACUUCAGGCCAGCAGGGAGGGCUGAGGUCUUAAGACAGCUAAAGCUAGAAUAGAAAACAUCUCCCCAUUUCCAUUCCCCCUUGCACCUGCUUUUUCAUUCUCUUGUUUUCCCAGCUCAACCACCCAGCAUUCAAAUACACAGCAGUUCCUUCACCUUAUCCUUCACUUCCGCACCAACUGUCCAGCCAUUUUGGAGAGCGUGGCCUUUGUGUCACCAAAGUAACUCCUAGAAGGAACGCUGCACUGCCAAGACAACCAAGAAGUGUUCCAGAAGAGAUCCCCAAGGGCUGCCAGACUUUACAAGCCACAGGAUUUGGCACUUGGCCCUCAGCAUGCAUAGUCUCUGACCCCCAGUUCUCUUUGUGUUAGCCUGGGAGCAGGAGAGUGGGUGCUGACAGUUUUUCUCUUGGCUUUGGGUUGGCCAGGGGGCCUUUUCAGCUGCACUUGCAGGAUUUCACCACCAUGUUGGAGAGCUGCUCCACUUUGGGGGUCCUCCCAACAUAGUACAAGAUAGUGAGCGGCUCCAGGUCCUGGGGCACACAGCAGGGUGAAGCAGAUGCCUCAGGGUUCAGCGUGUUGUAUAAACCCAGCACCUGCAGAAACAAAGUAAAUGUGGUGACAAAGUCAGGAAUAUGUUUAAGUUAGUUGAGGACAGGACGGGGCUGCAAAGUCAAUAGGCCUCCAGGGGUUUGGACUAUGCUCAUCAGAGGGUAUUUCCCUGAAUUGAGGAAUACUCCCCCAUCACUUCUUGAUCAUGGUCUGCUUCUAAAGGGUCUCACCUGCCCUGGCCUGACUUUUACAACUUUGUUUAUUAACUGUAACAGCCUUGCUCUCUGUGACUGAUGCCUAAGGGUUGAAGGAGUAUAAGUAGUUGUCUCCUUUCAUCUCUAAUUUGGUACAGCAGAAUGUCACAAUUUUUGCUUUUAACAAGGCUGGGUGUAACCAGCCUGGGGCCACGUUUUCUUGGAUUCUAUAAAGAAACCAGAAGAAAGAGUGUCAGUGCUGCUUAUUUCAACCAGCAUCUCCAGAUAGCACUGGAUGGAUGCCAGUCCUCUCAAGUAUCCACAAUUCCCUCCCAGCUUUGAACUGUCUGAUGCCUUCCCCCUCCACUCCAUCCUCCAAGUCAUUACACUGUAAUGCUGGAGCCAGGAGAGUGUCCUGUGGGACCCCACUGGAUUCUUCCUCCCAGCUGGCCCCAGCCCACAGAUGACUGUACACUGCAGCCAUGUAACCACUACAGAGCAGUUGCCAUGUUUCUUGCCAGAGGUGACCAUUUCUCUGCAGUAAGCAGCAGUAAGCAGCUUCUUGAGUUGUGGGGCCAAAACAUGAUCUCACCUGCUCUACUGUGGUCUCUUUAGUGCUUAUCUGGUAUAAACGACAGGGUCUGGCACAUUGUAUUUUAACUACUUUACAGUCUUUGGGGAUGGGAAAUGCUAAGGAUACAUCCUGUUCUAUCAUCCAGAUCCAUGUAAUCACAGUUGUGGUAAAAACUCUCUGGGAUAAUAAGCAAAGUACCCCUGGCUAUACCACAUGCUCUGGGGUUACUCUACUCAACAGCGGGUUAAACAGACUGGUGAGAAGUCUUCUUUUCAUCAUGUUCUUCCUAGCUGGUGCUGGCAAGCUGUCAGCCACUAUAUUGUUCUAAAGGUUUCUAUAAUCACUUCACUGACCUUAAUGCUUGAUUGUUUCCUUUCUUGCUCAAGAACAGAACAUUAGGAACCAUCCUAAAAUCUACUUUCUCUCACACUGAUUCUGGCCGGUUAUCUACUAGAGAGCUUCUCAGGACAACCAGAUGGUAAAGCUACAUGCCCAUUACCCUUUCAAAGCUGUUCAUUCCCUUGCUUUUUCUUGUGCUUAAUGCCCAGCAUCUGUUCACUCCUUCUUUCCCACAGAUCAGCUGUUCCCACUGAUAUUAGUCCUUGAGCUUCAGUGAACCUUACUGCUGUGCAGACUCUCAAGCUGUCAAGAACAUGUUAGCAUCUCUUCUGCAAUAUCAUCUUUACCUAGUCAUCCAUUCUUCAGCUGAAUCUGCUUUUUCCAAUAACUCUUUUAGUGAAAUCUGAAGGUAAGCUGCUAGUGAGCUGUUGUAUUAUCUGGAUGGCUGCCUUUUCUCUUCUGCAGGCAGCAGCACAGGAUUUUCCUCUGGCUUUUCCUGCUUCAGCAGUGGACUGUCUGAUCCUUAGUCUGUCUUCUUCUCUUGAUACUUUUCCAAUGCCUGUGCUUUUCUGUUGCUUUUAUUUUCUUCCACUCUAGCCAGGCUCAGAUUGUAUUCUUCCCAAAGACUGACCAGUCUACUCAUGUUAAAGAGAGAUUGUGUGUAAGUUACCUAAAGACAUUGCUUUCUGACAGUUUUUUCUCACAAAUCUCACUGCUUAGUAGGUUCUUCCCUGCUGUAGGUCAGGUAUAAAUCCUACUGGAAAGGACACCUGUGCAGAAAGGAAAUCUUACUGAAUGGUUGUGUUCACGUCUAGACAGGGACAUGGAUUUCCCUUCACUUUCGGGCUACAGCUGCCCCUGUGAUAGUAGAUGGUAGGCCUGUGCCACUGCACAACAGUUUUGCAUUAUAGCCUCACACAGAGCAUAGAGAAAUCCUCUAUUCAGUGCAAACUGCAGGAAAAAAUUAGGCAGAAUUGAUGUUUGAUGUGAACAGUUCAGUUAAUACUGUGGCCACUGCCACAUAAGUACCCUAAAACCAUCAGUCCUGCUGUUUCACAUCUUAUCCAAGAGAUAAAAAACAGCAUCCUUCUCCUCAACAUUUGCCUGAAAGCUCGUACUCAGUAUUGACUCCAAAGGAAGCACAUUCUCCCUCCUGAACCACCUAGGCUUUUUUCUGCAGUUUCCUUGGAAUGGUUUUUACAAAUAUUGAUCUGAACUGCUUUUGCUGCUUUGAAGAGACUAGAUAAUUGAACAGACAUAGGGAGGAAGGGGGAAACACAGCCAUAAGCCUUGACAGGAUAAUAUACAGGAUGUACCGUGCUGUGAGUGGUGUCUGCGCUGCGGAGGUACGGACAAGGGCCCGAACAAAAGUUAGCAAAGUAGCCCUUAGGCUCAUGGACCCACUUCCAGCCAAGGUCCUGUCGGAAGUCAAUGUACAGAGGGCGCACGCAGCAGUUCUCCUCCAGGUUCCUGAAACACAGUAUUGGAACACAAUGAAUGCAAAUGGGGGCCUUAUAUGCGACUGCAAGAUGCAGCUUCCCAAGCAGAAGGACAAGUACCCAGUGGGACAUGGUGUUUGCGUGCGCCAAGUGCGGAGGAGUGGCACAGGCAAGUGGUAGUGGGGCAGCUCAGCAGCCUGGCACAGCUUGUGCCUGCUUGCCCACCACCCCAGGGAGGCAGCACCCAGCUGCUCUAGCAACUAGUAGGGCGCUACUACAGAUCCCUGCCCACACAGGGCUCCAGGAAGGUGCUUGCAAGUCUCUUUGAUCCAGAAGCACAUUGCAACUCUGCUGAACUGGCCAGCAUCCCUUUCUUGGACACCACGGGAAUAGCUGGCUGAGAUGUGCUCCUUAUGUGGCCCUUCUGGCACCAUGGUGACACACAACCCCCUUGGGAGAGCUCUGCCUUUCCUGGAGGCAUGGAGUCUCACCAGGCUUACCCACCUCAGGCACAGGAUCCAGGCAUGAUUCUCACUUACCGGAAACAGUAGUUGGUAUCUAGGGCCCGUUUCUUUCUCUGGCCUCCCAACACUGGGCUCUCCAGUCGAUGUGGGGGUAACAUCAUCAAGAUGAGGUGGGGAUUAUGCAAGUCCUUCUGCUUCUUCAGGCGGCCCAAGUCCCCACGGCCAUAGUCAUCCUCACUGUCAAUGCCUUCAGAGAAAAAGAGGAUCCACAAAAAAGAAAUCAGCAUGGAAGUGGAGGAUGCAACAAGACUUUUCAAUGCUUUUAACACUCUCUUGAACCAGAUGAAAGGGAUUCAGGCACCAUGUCCACUUACUCUGGGACUUCUUCCCUCACAGGGAACCCUUUUAUUUCUGGUGCAUCUGACUGCUGCAGGCCUGAAGUAGAGGCUUACAGGCCACCUGUUUUACCAUUUGCAAACUGCUGGUGGGGCCAUUAAUCCGUCCCACUCACUCCUGGCUUUGGUCCCAGGACAGGCAGAAAGAUGAAUGGUUUAAAGAAGAUGUCAGAUAAUUGGCACUCGGCAGAACAGCCUCAGAAAUUAAGCCUGUGGGGGCCAGUGGCUGCUGCCCAGGGCUGCAAGCCAGGAGGUUCCUAGUUCUUAGGCCAGCCAAGCCACUGACUCUCUGAGCCACCUCACACAGGAUGCCUAACUUCCGUGUGUUUCAGUCACCCUAACUGGAAAGCAGAGCCUCUGUGGAAACCUGAGAAGGAACCAAGCUGAACUUCCCAGAGAGACACUGAAAUACAAAAUUAUUCCUUUCUGCAGACACUCGAGCAAGCCCACUCAACCUGCUUUUACUUUCUUCCUUUUGUAACCUAUGUAUAUAGUGGAUAUGCCCAUAUAAUGAACAUGCAAACCCGAUGUGUAUGCUUUAAGACGUUAGAAAAUGUAAAAUGCUCAAAUAUGCAAA